CCUACGGGGGGCAGCAGUCGAGGAUCUUCGGCAAUGGGCGCAAGCCUGACCGAGCGACGCCGCGUGUGGGAUGAAGGCCCUCGGGUUGUAAACCACUGUCAGAGGGGAUGAAAUGCCAUGGGGUUCUCUUCAUGGUUUGACAUAUCCUCAGAGGAAGGACGGGCUAAGUUCGUGCCAGCAGCCGCGGUAAGACGAACCGUCCAAACGUUAUUCGGAAUCGGGUGUCUUGAAGGGGCCGUAGGCUGCGUGUGAAAGCCCUCGGCUUAACCGAGGAAUUGCGCUCAAAACUGCCGUGCUUGAGGGAGAUAGAGGUGAGCGGAACUUAGGGUGGAGCGGUGAAAUGCGUUGAUAUCCUAAGGAACACCUGGGGCGAAAGCGGCUCACUGGAUCUUUUCUGACGCUGAUGCACGAAAGCUAGGGGAGCGAACGGGAUUAGAUACCCCUGUAGUC
rnacentral:rRNA from 1 species